rnacentral:rRNA from 1 species
GGGGGGUAAGCUUCAUUGUCGAGAGGGAAACAGCCCAGACUACCAGUUAAGGCCCCUAAAUAUUUACUAAGUGGUAAAGGAUGUAAUAGUACAUAGACAACCAGGAGGUUUGCCUAGAAGCAGCCACCCUUUAAAAAGUGCGUAAUAGCUUACUGGUCAAGUGCUUUUGCGCCGAAAAUGAAUGGGACUAAGUAUUUUGCCGAAACUGUAGGAUAAAAAUCGGUAGAAGAGCGUUCUGUAUUGGUUUGAAGCAAUAAUGAAAAUAGUUGUGGACUAAGCAGAAGUGAGAAUGUCGGCUUAAGUAACGAAAACAUUGGUGGAAAUCCAAUGCCCCGAAAGCCUAAGGUUUCCUUCGCAAGGCUCGUCCACGAAGGGUUAGUCAGGUCCUAAAACAAGGUUAAAAAACGUAGUUGAUGGAUAACAGGUUAAUAUUCCUGUACCAUGUUUUAUUUGUUGAAAGUGACGAAGAAGGCUAUGUCAGCCAUAGAAUGGUUGUUUUGGUUUAAUCUUUCGAGAUGUUGAGAGGUAGAAAUAAAAAAUACCUUGAGUUGAGAAGAGAGUACGAAUAGCAUUACGGUGCUUAAAGUGACUUAUGUCAUGCUUCCAAGAAAAGCUUUUAUAACGUGUAGUAAAACAUGCCUGUACCUUAAACUGACACAGGUAGGCUAGUAGAGAAUACUAAGGGGCGCGAGAUAACUCUUUCUAAGGAACUCGGCAAAAUGACUCUGUAACUUCGGGAGAAAGAGUGCCUCUUAAAAAGAGGUCGCAGUAAUCAGACUCAAGCGACUGUUUACCAAAAACACAGGUCUCCGCUAAGUUGUAAAACUAUGUAUGGGGGCUGACGCCUGCCCAGUGCCGGAAGGUUAAAAAAAUUGGUUAGCGUAAGCGAAGCUGGUAAUUGAAGCCCUGGUGAACGGCGGCCGUAACUAUAACGGUCCUAAGGUAGCGAAAUUCCUUGUCGGGUAAGUUCCGACCCGCACGAAAGGCGUAACGAUUUGAGUACUGUCUCAGAAAGAGACUCGGUGAAAUAGAAUUGACUGUGAAGAUGCGGUCUACUUGCACUUGGACAGAAAGACCCUAUGAAGCUUUACUGUAACUUGAAAUUGGUUUUGGACUUUCUUUGCGCAGUAUAGGUGGGAGGCUGUGAACCUCUUUUUCGGAAGAUGGGGAGCCACAAUAUGAGAUACCACUCUGAGAAAGUUAGGAAUCUAAUGGCAUUAUUUUAUCAAGAUGUUUGACAGUUUCAGGCGGGCAGUUUUACUGGGGCGGUAGCCUCCUAAAAGGUAACGGAGGCGUACAAAGGUUUUCUCAGUCUGGACGGAAAUUAGUUGAAGAGUGUAAAGACAUAAGAAAGCUUGACUGUGAGACCUACAAGUCGAACAGAGACUAAAGUCGGUCUUAGUGAUCCGACGGUGCUGUGUGGAAAGGCCGUCGCUUAACGGAUAAAAGUUACUCUAGGGAUAACAGGCUGAUCUCCCCCAAGAGUUCACAUCGACGGGGAGGUUUGGCACCUCGAUGUCGGCUCAUCGCAGCCUGGGGCGGUAGUACGUCCCAAGGGUUGGGCUGUUCGCCCAUUAAAGCGGUACGUGAGCUGGGUUCAGAACGUCGAGAGACAGUUCGGUCCAUAUCCGGUGUGAGUGAUAGAGUAUUGAAAGGAGCUUUCCUUAGUACGAGAGGACCGGGAAGGACACACCACUGAUGUACCAGUUUUUGUGCCAACAGAAGACGCUGGGUAGUCAAGUGUGGAGUGGAUAACUGCUGAAA